GGUUCACACGCAAGGUGUUCGUGGAAAUGUUGAGCUCAACAACGUGUUGCAAGAGAAGCAGAUUUUCUCGGCUUUGGAUGAAAUUGAUGUUAGCCCUGUAGUAGAUGAUAUCACUGGGAUUGUUCGUGCUGAAAAUGCCAUGGUUUCAAUGGAGGAGAGGUUAGAGAGUCUGGAGUUUCAGUUUGAACCGGAGAUUGUUGAGAAAGUUUUGAAGAGAUGCUUUAAAGUUCCACAUUUAGCUUUCAGGUUUUUCAAUUGGGUGAGGAUGAAAGAUGGGUUUUUUCAUACGACCAAGACUUAUAAUACCAUGUUAUAUAUAGCUGGAGAAGCGAAAGAAUUUAAGGUGGUGGAUGAUUUGGUGGAGGAAAUGGAGAAGAACUCAUGCGAGAAGGAUAUUAAAACUUGGGCCAUUCUUAUCUCACUGUUUGGGAAGGCAAAAUUAAUUGGCAAAGCCUUGUUCUUCUUUGAGGAGAUGAAGAAAUCCAAGUGUAAACCUGAUGAAAAAAUUUACAAAAUGAUGGUGCGUUCUCUAUGUAAUGAUGGAAAAGGUGAGAUUGCAUUGGAACUUUACAAGGAGAUGACUCAAAGGGAUAUGAGAUUGGAUUUAACUUUGUACAAAAUUUUAUUGAAUAGCAUGGCAAAGUCAGGAAAUGUUAGUGCUGUAAACUUGGUUGCUGAUGACAUGAAUAGGCUUUCCCAGAUCCCAAAGCCCGAUGUUCAUGUUUGUGUUCUGAAGAGUUUUUGUGUGGCUGGGAGAAUUAGAGAAGCCUUAUCAUUGAUUCGUGACCUCAAGAAUAAAGAGAUACCACUUAACUAUGAAUAUUUUGAGAUUUUAGUGAAAGGACUGUGCAGAGCUGGUAAUAUUGCAGAUGCUAUGGAAAUUGUUGAAAUUAUGAAGAAAAAAAAUGUUGUUGAUGCACAGGUUUAUGGGAUUAUCAUCAAUGGAUACCUGAGGAUAAAAGAGCUUUCUAAGGCACUUGAGCUGUUUCAAAGCAUGAAAGAAUCGGGAUACCAACCAACUGCUUCCACCUAUACAGAAUUAAUGCAACACAUGUUCAAUUUGAAUCAGUAUCAAAAAGGAUAUGAGCUAUACAAUGAGAUGCUGGAAAGAGGAAUUGAGGCGGAUGGUGUAGCAAUUAUGGCGAUUGUUGCAGGUCAUGUUCGCCAAAAUAAAAUAUCAGAAGCAUGGGAAGCAUUCAAUACCAUGGAAGAUAAGGGAAUCAAUCCCAAUUGGAAAUCUUAUUCCAUAUUCAUUAAGGAGCUUUGCAAAGUUUCAAGAACAGAUGAGAUUUUGAAGGUUCUGUACAAAAUGCAGGGUUCCAAGAUAUUCAUUAAUAAUGAAUUAUUUAAGUGGGUUAUAGCUUGUAUGGAGAAGAAGGGAGAAAAGGACAAUAUUCAAAAAGUGAAGCAGAUGCAAAGAAUUUGUAGACUUCAUUAUAUACAAGACGAGGCAUCUAGGAAACAGGAGCUCAAGGUAGAACAUAACCAUAACCAAUCGGAGUGUGGAAUGAUAGAUCAAUCAGAGCAAGGGAUGAUAGAUUGUCCCUUGUUGAAGCCACUUUCAAAGGGUUAUAACGAGCAAGAUUUGCAAGAAAUAAGUUGGAUAUUGUCAUCCUCAGACAAUUGGUGCACAAUGAGAGAAGCUUUGGAGAAAUGCACUGUUCAUUUCACACCAGAAUUAGUUGUGGAGAUGUUGCAUAAUUGCUGCAUACAUGGCAAUGCUGCAUUACAUUUUUUUUCAUGGGUAGGAUUGCAAACUGGUUAUCGCCACACAACAGAAACAUACAACAUGGCUAUGAAAAUUUCUGGAAGGGGGAAAGAUUUCAAGCACAUGAGAAGCCUUUUUUAUGAGAUGAGAAGAAAGGGUUGCUUAAUAACACCAGACACAUGGGCAAUCAUGAUAAUGCAAUACGGUCGAACAGGUCUAACAGAGAUUGCUUUAAAGAUUUUCAAUGAGAUGAAAGAUAAUGGUUAUAAUCCAACUGGCAGUACCUACAAGUAUUUGAUCAUCAGUCUUUGUGGGAGAAAAGGUAGAAAGAUAGAUGAAGCUAUUAAAAUAUUCCAGGAGAUGAUUCGUGCUGGACACAUCCCUGACAGAGAAGUAGUUGAAAGUUAUCUCUGUUGUUUAUGUGAAGCUGGGAAACUGUCAGAAGCCAGAAGGAGCGUAGAUUCUCUUUGUAAGGCUGGUUUCACUAUUCCUCUUAGUUAUUCUCUGCACAUUAGGGCGCUUUGUCGAGCAGGAAGAUUGGAAGAAGCUUUAUCAUUGCUAGAUGAGGUUGGGGCAGAACGAUCUACAUUGGAUCAGUAUACUUAUGGAACCAUUGUUCAUGGAUUACUACGAAAGGGACGGCAAGAAGAGGCAUUGGCCAAGGUGGAUUCCAUGAAACAGACAGGCAUUCAACCAACUGUCCAUGUUUAUACCUCCUUAAUAGUUCAUUUUUUUAAGGAGAAGCAGAUGGAAAAGGCUAUUAAAUUUUUCAAGAAAAUGCAAGAAGAGGGCUGCAAACCGACAAUUGUUACAUAUUCAGCAUUGAUUCGUGGAUACAUGAACAUGGGGAGAGUUGGUGAUGCUUGGAAUGUGUUCAAUCAUAUGAAAUUGGAAGGACCUGCACCUGAUUUCAAGACUUACUCAAUGUUCAUUAGUUGUCUCUGUAGGGCAGGUAAAUCAGAAGAAGCCCUGCAGCUUAUAACCCAAAUGUUGGAUGAAAGGAUUGUUCCAAGUACUAUAAAUUUUAGAACUGUUUUCUUUGGGCUAAACAGAGAAGGUAAACAUGAUUUAGCUCAGACUGUAUUGAAACAAAAGUUGGCUUUAAGGAGCAAACGCAAGUUCUUAACCUAAUUAAUUUCUUUUCUCACUUCUUUGUAGAUGUAUAUAUAUGUUUUGCUUGCAAUUUUUGCAAACUUCAAUUGCUAUUGAAAUUC
rnacentral:misc_RNA from 1 species